rnacentral:rRNA from 1 species
UACGAAGGGGGCUAGCGUUGCUCGGAAUUACUGGGCGUAAAGGGCGCGUAGGCGGCACUGUUAGUCAGGCGUGAAAGUCCUGGGCUCAACCUGGGAACUGCGCUUGAUACGGCAGAGCUAGAGGAUGGAAGAGGCUCGCGGAAUUCCCAGUGUAGAGGUGAAAUUCGUAGAUAUUCGGAAGAACACCAGUGGCGAAGGCGACACACUGGCCCGUUACUGACGCUGAGGCGCGAAAGCGUGGGGAGCAAACAGG